rnacentral:rRNA from 1 species
AUUGAACGCUGGCGGAAUGCUUUACACAUGCAAGUCGAACGGCAGCACGGACUUCGGUCUGGUGGCGAGUGGCGAACGGGUGAGUAAUGUAUCGGAACGUGCCCAGUCGUGGGGGAUAACGUAGUGAAAAUUACGCUAAUACCGCAUACGAUCUAUGGAUGAAAGCGGGGGAUCGCAAGACCUCGCGCGAUUGGAGCGGCCGAUAUCAGAUUAGGUAGUUGGUGGGGUAAAGGCCCACCAAGCCAACGAUCGGUAGCUGGUCUGAGAGGACGACCAGCCACACUGGGACUGGGACAGGGUCCAGACUCCUAGGGGAGGCGGCAGUGGGGAAUUUUGGACAAGGGGCGAAAGCCUGAUCCAGCCAUUCCGCGUGCAGGAUGAAGGCCCUCGGGUUGUAAACUGCUUUUGUACAGAACGAAAAGGUUUCUACUAAUACUAGGAGCUCAUAACGGUACUGUAAGAAUAAGCACCGGCUAACUACGUGCCAGCCGCCGCAGUAA